ensembl:lncRNA
GGAAAUCACAGGCAUUUACCCCUACCUCAGAGCAUGGCGGGGAGAGAGACCAAUCAGAUAGUCAUGAAGUUACAUCUGAAUGCACAGAAGUCUGCGGAGAAGGUCUGAGUGCGCGGUCUUGUUCAAAAAUUUGUCUAGUUUCUGUUUAUCCAGCUGGACAUCAAGAGAAAGCAAAGAGGAUGUACGCUAUCCUAGAUGAGCAAAGUAAUCGGUCUUUGGUUAGAAAAGAUUUCUUUGACAUCUUCAACAUCAAAACAAGUCCAUUGCCCUAUACAUUAAAAACCUGUGCAGGCCUUCUAGAGACAGCAGGUAGAAGAAUUUCUGAUUUCAUUGUGGAAUCCAUUGAUGGAAAGAUAAGUCUACCUCUACCUUCUCUUUUAGAAUGCAAUCAGAUUCCAAACAAUCGUACAGAGAUUCCGACUCCUGAUGCAGCGUUCCAUCACAGCCACCUGAGACACAUAGCACAGGAAAUACCACCUCUUGACUCUGAUGCAGAGAUUCUUCUAUUACUGGGCAGAGACAUCCUUCAAGUGCACAAAGUGCGCCAACAAAUUAAUGGCCCAAAUAAUGCCCCCUUCGCUCAAAAACUGGAUUUUGGCUGGGUUGUCGUCGGGGAUGUGUGUCUCAAAGGAGCUCAUAGGCCACCUUCAGUUCAUACUUUCAAGACUUUUAUCUUGGAAAGUGGCCGUCACAGCUUUCUGAGUCCAUGCUACAGUCAAAUCACGGUAAAAGAGAAGUUGGAUGUUAAUUCACAAUGGCAACAAUCUCUAGAAGCCUCACUCAAGGACCCCUUUCUGUUCGUGUCUGAUGGUGAAAAUAUAGGUUGUUCAGUUUUCUCCUAUACAGCAAAUGAUCAUAAGAUUGCUCCAUCUGUGGAAGACACUAGGUUUCUCCAGAUCAUGGACAAAGAGGUCUUCCAAGACAGCUGUAAUAGUUGGGUUGCUCCGUUACCUUUUCGAGAGCCCAGACAAAGUCUACCUAACAACAAAGACAAUGCAUUGAAACGUCUUCUUGCACUGAGACAUACUCUUAACAAGCGACCACAAAUGAAAGCACAUUUCCUGGAAUUUAUGGACAACUUGCUAAAAAAUGAGCAUGCAGAGAUUGCACCGCCUCUCAAGCAUGGUCAGGAAGUGUGGUACUUGCCGCUGUUUGGAGUGUAUCAUCCUAAGAAGCCUAAUAAAAUACGAGUUGUUUUCGAUUCAAGUGCGCCCUUUGAGGGAGUUUCACUAAACAGUGUGCUUCUCACAGGCCCUGAUUUGAAUAACAGCUUGCUAGGAGUCCUGAUGAGAUUCCGUAAAGAGCCUGUGGCUAUUACUGCUGACAUACAGCACAUGUUUCAUUGUUUUCUGGUAAGGGAGGAUCAUAAGGAUUAUCUUAGGUUCCUGUGGUACAGAAACAAUGACCUUAACAGUGAGAUUGUGGAUCACCGAAUGCGUGUGCAUGUUUUCGGGAAUAGCCCAUCACCAGCAGUGGCUAUCUAUGGCCUACGGAGAGCAGCCAAAGAAUAUGAAGAGAGUUUCGGCAGUGACACCAGAAAGCUGGUGGAGAAGGAGUUUUAUGUUGAUGACAUGCUGAAAUCAUGUGCUACAGAGGCAGAGGCGAUCGAUCUUCUCAAACGUACACAA